rnacentral:rRNA from 1 species
CCUACGGGGGGCAGCAGUGAGGAAUAUUGGUCAAUGGACGAGAGUCUGAACCAGCCAAGUAGCGUGAAGGAUGACUGCCCUAUGGGUUGUAAACUUCUUUUAUAUGGGAAUAAAAUGUUCCACGUGUGGGAUUUUGUAUGUACCAUAUGAAUAAGGAUGGGCUAACUCCGUGCCAGCAGCCGCGGUAAUACGGAGGAUCCGAGCGUUAUCCGGAUUUAUUGGGUUUAAAGGGAGCGUAGGUGGAUUGUUAAGUCAGUUGUGAAAGUUUGCGGCUCAACCGUAAAAUUGCAGUUGAAACUGGCAGUCUUGAGUACAGUAGAGGUGGGCGGAAUUCGUGGUGUAGCGGUGAAAUGCUUAGAUAUCACGAAGAACUCCGAUUGCGAAGGCAGUUCACUGGACUGCAACUGACACUGAGGCUCGAAAGUGUGGGUAUCAAACAGGAUUAGAUACCCGUGUAGUC